rnacentral:rRNA from 1 species
AUGUCCUCCUCCUCCGCAGUCAGCUCUUCUGGCCUCAACUACAACACAUCAGAACCCCUUAGCCGGACGAACUAUGUUCUCUGGCAAGCCCAAGCACGAUCCCAGAUAUUGGGCGCCGGCCUGUUUGGCUAUAUAGAUCAGACUAUAGAGGAGCCUCCCAAAACAAUCAUUAGCAAAGAUAAAGAUGGCAAGGAUCAGGUAGUUUCCAACCAUGCUCAUAACCCCUGGCUAGUUCAAGAUCAGCAAAUCGUAGCAUAUCUUCUCCGAAAUCUGUCCAAGGAGGUGCUUGUUCAAGUGGCCUCGCUUGAAUCAUCACAUGCGAUCUGGACAGCGUUAGCAAACAUGUUUUCUGCAGUUUCCCUGUCUCGUGUCAAUAACAUCAGAUCGGCCCUCACGAACGCCCAGAAGGGAUCACAGUCGGCCUCCACCUACUUCGGGCAGAUGCGUGCCCUCUCCGACGAGCUUGCGGCGGCGGGCAAACCGAUCGGGGAGGACGAACUCAUCUCCUUCAUCGUCAUCGGGCUUGAUAUGUAG